GACGAACGCUGGCGGCGUGCCUAAUACAUGCAAGUAGAGCGCUGAAGGAGGAGCUUGCUCUUCUGGAUGAGUUGCGAACGGGUGAGUAACGCGUAGGUAACCUGCCUGGUAGCGGGGGAUAACUAUUGGAAACGAUAGCUAAUACCGCAUAAGAGUAGAUGUUGCAUGACAUUUGCUUAAAAGGUGCAAUUGCAUCACUACCAGAUGGACCUGCGUUGUAUUAGCUAGUUGGUGGGGUAACGGCUCACCAAGGCGACGAUACAUAGCCGACCUGAGAGGGGGAUCGGCCACACUGGGACUGAGACACGGCCCAGACUCCUACGGGAGGCAGCAGUAGGGAAUCUUCGGCAAUGGACGGAAGUCUGACCGAGCAACGCCGCGUGAGUGAAGAAGGUUUUCGGAUCGUAAAGCUCUGUUGUAAGAGAAGAACGAGUGUGAGAGUGGAAAGUUCACACUGUGACGGUAUCUUACCAGAAAGGGACGGCUAACUACGUG
rnacentral:rRNA from 1 species